UCAUUUCACCUGCUAUUUUUAUAAUGAGCUGCUCUUCUCACUUCCCUGGGUUGCACAGGCUGAUCUCACCACUGAGCUAUUUUUCCAUUCGAGCACCUGCCCAGCCAACGCGGAGCAAAGCCUUAGCGGCAGGCCGGCUGCUCUCCCUGCCUGGGCAGCAGAGCCCCCACACUCGGUGCCGGGCGCCUGCUGAGCCUUACCCUGGGACUGCUGGGGCUGCAGGCAGUGCCACAGCACCUGCAGCAUGCUGCUGCUGCUGCGGUUACAACGUAGCAGGCCAGGGACAAUGGCAGAGGCCUUGACAAGCAGAGACAGGACGCAGUGUGGAGGAGUACAGGCACAAAGGUGGGGCAGAGGCUGGCCACAGGAGACCCACAGCUAUCAAGAAAUCACCUUUUUUUUUCCAUUUGAUCUGAAGGUAGCCAAAGCCAAUUUUUAUGCAUAACAAAGAAGAAAUAAAGAAAAAACCCUCCGAAUAUGUAUGUAAAUAUGUAAAAUAUAUACAGUAAAGUUGUUUACCACAUGCCUUUGCAAACCAAUGAUGAAAGAGCAAGGUGUAAAAGCAUGCUGGUAAACAUAAAAAGGACCAAGUGAAUUGCAGAGUGAUAAAGAAGCAGCUGUCACCACCCUAUUAAUCCCAGCAAAAGACCCCAGGUGCUGGUGAGUGGCCUGAACACACCUAGCACCAGACUGAAGCCCCUAGCCUGAGGACCCAUAGAAGCAGUGAAAGGGUGAGCACAGCACCAAGAAAAAGGGAAGGUGCCAGGAAUUAUACCUCUGCUCAUUGUUUCUGCUUUGAGCUGAAGAAUUCUGGACUGAACCUCUUCUGCCUGUUGCAAAAGGCUAACUGUUCAGGUCAUAAAGCAAAAGAACAGAAAAUAAAGAGGCUGCUUUUUGUUUCUGCCUUGCUUGCUCUCUCCCCAAAUUUAUGCUGUAUUCAAAGCAAGGCAACAUCAUAGAUAUAUUCUGUGAGAUGAAGAUGGCUCCUUUUUCUUUUCUUCAAUUCGUUUCCUAAUAAUGCCUAAUGUUUUACUUGUCUUUUUGCCAUAUGCUGAAAUUGAAUGGUCUGAGACUUUUUGUCCUGCUGGCAACAGCUAAUUUACCAUCUAACUUUCUGUAAAUAUGGAGCUAUUUUUCCUUAUGUGUAUUGCUUUGCAUUUAUCACUAGUGAGUUCAUUGCUCAGUAAACAGCCUCCCAUUUUCUACUACUUCUCCCUGGUACUCUGCAGACUGCUCUCUGCUGGUCCUUACUGUGCUGUGCAAAUUCAGGAUUGAUCAAUUUCAGUAUGCUCAGUAUUUCUGUGAAACUGGCACUGGAAAUCCAGGCCAUAAACCAAGAAGCAAUUGGGGCUUUAGACUGAUGGAAGUCAGCAUCCAUAUCCUGAAACAGAAGCCAUUUUAGAAGAAUCUUGAGGAUUGGAUCAUGAGAUUUUUUUUCUUUCCCUGAAACAAGAACAGAAGAGAAUAAAAGUUCAUUCCUCACAGCGAAGGGCAAGUCUUAGGCACGUCUGCAAGCAAGGACUUAUUUCUUGUAAAAUCUUUAAGUGGUGAUGUCAAAAAGCGAUGGUGGAAGAGGUAUAGAGGGUGAUGUAAAGAGAUCUCAACUGUGUAUCAUGAUUUCCAACUGCAGUCAAUGGAAGACAGCAAAGCUGUUUCCCCAGAAAGCACCUGGCAACCUAUUCCCAGUCUGGUUCUGGAACCUGCCAUCAUGUUUGCAGAUGUACACGUACCACCAAAUUAAGGCAGAAUUUUGACUUCUGCUGUAUCUUGUUAAAUCCUCAGCAUUGCAGCGAAGUUGUUAGUGGUGCAGUAGUGCAUGCAGUCUUCAAUGCAAGUGUUUGUAGGUGACAUGUUUUGCAACAUGCUGGGAGAUAGCAACCAGUUCUGGACAGCAUGAGCUACUACUGGAAACUCAUUCAGGAAGCGAAGGCUACUCGCCAGCUGAUUGCUAGCCCAUGUGGAGCUCGAGAGCUCUCAGUGCUAUCUUGUUCUUACAAGAAAUACUUGACACUUCAGAACAGAAGCGCUGUGCAACCAUAUGCCAGGCCCAGAUGUUGAUCGAACUUCUGAUAGAGUUUACAUAGCCAGUCUUCUACUCAAUUCUCUAGCUCUAAUUUCAUCUCUGUGGAAAGCUUGUUAGUUAAAAGUCUUCUGUCCCCACUAUCUGUCUCUGUUUAAGGAUGGCCAACAAGCCUUAGCAGUAGCAUGCUAACAUUAUUUCCUUUCAUAAAUCUGAGUCUCUAGAAUUCUCACUUCAUCUUCAGGACAUUGAAAAUUUAACGUACUCCUGAAAUAAGUGAGUGGAUUUUGGUUUUAAGGAAACAUCAUCAACCAAGCCAGUGACUAAGGCUGUGCAGAACAGUCCUGCUCUUCCUGAUAGCCUAAUCAUAUAUAUAUUCCUAAAAUCCCAUUUGAAAGGAAGAUGAUCUCCACCUCUCUAAAAGCACAAGUUCUGUUUGGAAAGUCAAGCCAUAUACAAUGUUUAAGUGGAAUCUCAUGUAUGAAAGUAGUUAAGUAAAAUCUGGGCUUGGAACUUCUUCGGCUCUCCCAGCUGCAACAUUUCCAACAGGCAACUUAUUAUUUUGCUAGACCUGGGACAAAGUAUAUUCCAGUGGUGCUGAGUGCUCCACUCCCUGGAAGGAUGCUAGCGAUGACUCCACUAACACCGAGGGGGUUGCAUUCAGGCCUAGGAAGCACAGAGGGAUUCCAGUACCAGCAGAAGACAGUGUUCAGCAGAAGCAGCCUGAUCAAGAACCUUCUCUCACUCCAUCUUUUCCUUUGUGAACAGCUUGAGCUCCUAGGCCAGAGUCCAAGCUGGCCACUUCUACUGACCUCAGCAAAGCUGUGUAAACAUGCUGAUUUCUUCCAAUGUAUUUGGCAUCACGCCCCUGCUGCUCAGUGGUUCUUCAAGCGCAUAGGCUUGGCCACGUGGACCUCUCCCAGCCACCCUCCCCUGGGUCUGACCUCAUGCUCACACUACACUGAUUCAGGAGGUUUUUCAGUCUUGCUGAGAACUACACAUAUACAGAGCAUUUGACAAGCGUUUCUCACAGGAAAAGGUGUAGACUGAGCUUAGCUUAAGAGAACAUUCAGACAUUUAAUUCUGCAUUUUGAAAGUCAUAUCUAUUGAAAAUCCUCACAGAGAAGGGAGAAUUACAUAGGUAGCUGUACUUCAGGAAUGACUUUGGUCCCAGCUAGUGCAAAAUUUAAAAACUGUGGCACAUUAAGUGAUUUUCAUAAGAUUUUAAAAAGCUGAAACUACAUUUUGUGCAGCAUGAACCAAUUCUCCUUGCUGAGAAUCUGAAGGCUAACCACAGGUGUUUAAGCAAAACUACAGUUGCAGUAUGUUUAAUCUUUGUAUAAGCAUCUUAACAUGUGAUGACAACAAUAGGAUAGCUGUAUAUUUAUAUCCUCUUCUGAGGAACAUAAAUGGAUUUAGUCCUCUCUAAAGAGAAGUUAUUUACAGUCUUAAAUUGGAUAUAUAAUAGACUAGCAAAUCAGUCUAGAGUACCUUUUUGUCCCAACAGUUUUAAGUGAUGUUCUGCAGGAAUACAUGACAUGUGAAGUCUUGCGUAAUACUGUUUUGUCUCGUUUGAAAUCAUUUUUCAAGAACCAGUAUAACCUACACCUAAAGAAGAAAGAAGAAAUUUUUAUGAUUGCUUGGUAUAAAAUAGCUAUUCCUCCCCAUCCCCCAAGAUCCUCAAUAAGAAUCUCAUUGUAAUCUAAAGGAUUGAAGGAAAAAAAAAAAAAAGUGAGAUAAGGCUCCAAUUU